rnacentral:rRNA from 1 species
UACGUAGGGUGCGAGCGUUGCCCGGAUUUAUUGGGCGUAAAGGGCGCGUAGGCGGCCACGCACGUCCGUUGUGAAAUCGCCCGGCUCAACUGGGCGGGGUCAGCGGAUACGGUGUGGCUAGAGCAAGCUAGGGGGCAAUGGAAUUCCCGGUGUAGUGGUGGAAUGCGUAGAUAUCGGGAGGAACACUAGUGGCGAAGGCGGUUGCCUGGAGCUUUGCUGACGCUGAUGCGCGAAAGCGUGGGGAGCGAUCCGG